rnacentral:rRNA from 1 species
AUGAAUACAAAGAUGGAGAAACUGAUAUUGCCAGAAGAACUACCUCGUUGGUUCCACAAACUGAAUGAACGCUACCCUGUUCAAGAAUGCUCUCGUCUUUGCUGCAGUGGCACACGAGGUAAGAUCAGCAUCUCCCUCCUUAACAGCAAGCACUACAAGCUCCUCUCCCCUCUCGCAAUCCUUUUGGGUGUAUCUGUAGACUGGGUUGGGCCAAGUUUCCUGCCAGCAGAGGCUUCACAGCGAUGGCCCCUUGGUGCUUGCCUGGACACUCGGGUCUCGCACCCUCGCAGAGUUCGGGAACACACAAGCAGUGCACAACGAACAAGGGCAGGUCAUGCGGGCCAGCAGUUCGGGGAGGAGUUCAGCGAGUCCUUUUUUGUAAGGUCACUAGAAAAAAAAAACUUUGUUUCUUUGUACACUGAAGCUCGACUGUUCUGUUUCACAUUUGUCAGUGUUUGUGUUUGA